rnacentral:tRNA from 1 species
GCCCUCGUCGUUCAACGGAUCAGGACACGACCUUGCGGAGGUCGCGAUAGGGGUUCGAUUCCUCUCGAGGGCA